rnacentral:tRNA from 1 species
GGCUAGGUAGCUCAGUUGGUACGAGCGUCCGCCUGAAAAGCGGAAGGUCGGCGGUUCGACCCCGCCCCUAGCCACCA